UAACACUGCGGGUAGAAGAUGUCUAUGCCGUAUACUCUGCGGUAUCGAAUUAGCGUUUAAGCGAUCUUGUAAGAUAGCCGACCGUGGGGGCUUAGGGUUGCUUAAAUGUUGGCAACCCUAUUAUUUUUUA
rnacentral:sRNA from 12 species